rnacentral:lncRNA from 1 species
UGGAAGACCAAACCUCCAAAUUCAACAAAUAUGUUGUCAAUUAAAAAGUCCAGCAUGGCAGUGAUAUCCUCUUCGGUGUAUUUUUUGCUCGACUCUGUAUGAUUUUUUACAAAGUAAGCUGAAUUCCUGUCCAAAACUAGAUAUGUAAAACGUCUAGUGCCCUUUUUGUUAAAGAAACAUAAGCUGGCGAGUUCUUUCAGUC